AACAACUCUAGUUGUCCAGUGUUUGAUUUGUAAAACUGUUUCUGGUACAGGACAAACUGGAGGCAAGGGACAGGACAA
rfam:Medicago truncatula strain A17 chromosome 5, whole genome shotgun sequence.